rnacentral:rRNA from 1 species
UACGUAGGGCGCAAGCGUUGUCCGGAAUUAUUGGGCGUAAAGAGCGUGUAGGCGGUCUGGUAGGUCCGUUGUGAAAACUCGAGGCUCAACCUCGAGACGCCGAUGGAAACCAUCAGACUAGAGUCCGGAAGAGGAGAGUGGAAUUCCUGGUGUAGCGGUGAAAUGCGCAGAUAUCAGGAAGAACACCCGUGGCUAAGGCGGCUCUCUAGUACGGUACUGACGCUGAGACGCGAAAGCGUGGGGAGCGAACAGG